rnacentral:rRNA from 1 species
GAGUUUGAUCCUGGCUCAGGAUGAACGCUGGCGGCGUGCCUAACACAUGCAAGUCGAACGAAGCACUAAGAGUUUGAGAUUUCGGUCAAGAACUUUCUUUGACUUAGUGGCGGACGGGUGAGUAAUGCGUGAGCAACCUGCCUUUCAGAGGGGGACAACAGUUGGAAACGACUGCUAAUACCGCAUGAUAUAUUCGGAUGGCAUCGUCUGAAUAUCAAAGAUUUAUCGCUGAAAGAUGGGCUCACGUCUGAUUAGUUAGUUGGUGAGGUAACGGCUCACCAAGACUGCGAUCAGUAGCCGGACUGAGAGGUUGAACGGCCACAUUGGGACUGAGAUACGGCCCAGACUCCUACGGGAGGCAGCAGUGGGGAAUAUUGGGCAAUGGGCGAAAGCCUGACCCAGCAACGCCGCGUGAAGGAAGAAGGUCUUCGGAUUGUAAACUUCUUUUAUCAGGGACGAAGUAAGUGACGGUACCUGAUGAAUAAGCCACGGCUAACUACGUGCCAGCCGCCGCGGUAAUUC